rnacentral:lncRNA from 1 species
CUGACGCCCGCAGCCAAUCAGAGAGCGUCGGCCGCGCCACGCCCCUCCUCUGUGCCGAGGACCCGGGCGAGGGCGCUGAGGCGCGGCCGGGGCUGCCGACGGAGGGCGGCUGGCGAGCGUCGUGGGGCGCGCUCCUCGGGUGGGAGCAUAGAAGUAGAGGACGCGCACAGGUGGCUGAGCAUACAAACUGAAGAAAAAAUUGAAAUGCCAUUUUAAAAACUUGAAAGUUAUGGAGUGGUAUUCAGAACAACAAUGCUAACAGAACAACAGUUGUUUCCUAUAAGCUGCAUCAAGGACAACUGAAAAUGAAAAAGCUACCAUCCGUGUAUAUAACUAAUUUGUGCUGUACACCAACAAGAACCUGCUUUACAUUUCCAUGUCAAUUUACAAUCCCCAUACUGUACCAGGCAAGAUUUGGCUUUUUCCACUGGAACAUUUGAAAGUCAAUUUUACAUCAGAGUGGAUCCACAUUGAAUAUUCCUGGCGGUUAUUUCCAACCUUUCCAUCAUUAUUUAGAGUGUAUCUUUCCAAAAAUUCUCUUUAGUCUAAUAAUAUUAGCUUUGCCAAUAAGUGGUUUCAUUUAUUAUACUCCAAUAGUGCUUUUUCUCUAUAUUAUUCGCUAUAUUAUACAAAAAAUUAUCUAUGUUUUUGUUAUUUAAAAUUAUGCAAAUGGCACAUCAAGAGAAUACUCAACAUUUUGUAUUUUGAAGAGAUGAUUGGUGAUCAGCAAUAUUUUGUGCCUUGUAGGGGUUACUGUGGCUUUAUCUGAUUCACGUGACUUCUAACUAUUAUCUUAUCUCUCUCCUGGAUGCAGAUACAUACGUAUACAGGAUCUAGUAAGACUGCUGUUGUGAAAAUGUAUUCUGGGUAUGUGGCCACAGUGUGAGUUGUAGGAUAGAGCAACCGGUGGAACAAGAUAACUGCUUGCCCCUGAAACAGCCCUGUUUAGGAAUGUUGACCAGGUUGUAGGGAACUCAACCAGUCCCUUUAAGUAGAAAGUAAAUAGAUUAGGAAAAUAGCCAUGAGGUUUGACACACCACCAGUGACUUUUUCCCCCUUUCCCUUUUAUUUUCAUGGUGUAAGAGAAUAGAGAGCAUGCAUUGCAAGAUCUGCCUUGUCUUGCUGCCACCCUGGACUGCCUCACAUGUAAGUUCCCCCUGAAUAAAUCUUUGAUGACCUCCCAGACUGGAGUGCUCCACCUCUUUCUUUGGUCUGAGCUUGCUCUCUGCUUAAAGAGGGC